ACACUUUGUCCUUAGAAAUUGUCUAAGUAUUCAGAUAAAAACACGGGCUUUUGUUUUAUUCCCCUUGAAAUGAUACUUUAGUCUUUUGUAGAAGAGGAAUCCUUGUUAAAUGACAAAUGGUAUUUGCUGAGACAGUAAAAUCUAUUCAGGUACAUUGAAUCUAACUUUUAAAGAUGCAUAUUUUGAAUAUUCAUUCUGACGUUCUGUGAAUCCAUGUGUGAUUAUCAGAUGGGACGGUUGGCUAUUUCUAGUGUCAGGAUUAUUCUUAAUACAAUGUUGGCAUUUGAAGAAUUUAUUUUGUCACAAAUUGAUUUUGUAUAUAUUAAAAAUGGUUCAGAAGUGUUAACACAAUUAGACUGGGCGGCAGGGUUGGGGGGAGGAGCUAACAGUUUUACUCUAAAACUGUUAAAACCAUGCUUUCUGCCUCUCUCACCCCAGCCUCUGUCUAGAAACAGCCAUUCUGUACUAUUUUGGUAUUUACCUCCCAUACGGGAUGUCUGUCCUGUGAUUUUUGGAGUUGUAGUUUUAGUCAUUGAUUUUCUGUUCUAGUACAUGAUGGUCUAGAAACUCGGAUUCCUUCUCCUGUUCUUCCCAAUAGGUCAUUUAUAUCUCUUUGUGGCAUUUUUACCAAGAUCACUGUGGAAACAGUUAUAUUUCAGGCUAUUUGCAGUGAAUACAUCUCAUUUGGGAGAUAAA
rnacentral:lncRNA from 1 species